CUAGGUUUAGGGCCGAGCUUUCCUUCCCUCCCUGUCGUCUGUGUCCUGGGCUCCAGAUUAGAGAUGCCGUUCCAUUCACUCUUUAACCUCUCGGAAGUGCUUAGUCACUGAUCCGGCCACGUGGCAUCCGCUUUCCCGUUGUGGGUCUGGUAUGUUAACUAAGAAAGUUAUUUUCCAGCCUAGUUAGAAACAGCAGGAACUUGAAUUGACUUGCUAGACUGGCAGUGCUAGAGGAGUUAGGGCCACGUGCCAAAGGAAAGAGCGGAUGGCCAAUCACCAGGGAGCAAAUUUCUCAAUCUGUAGCCUGAGACUAAACCCUCCUGCUGGCAAGGGAGACCCGUGCUAGGCCGCUGCUGCCAAACUCACACUGGGAGAUGCACUGGGGCUUCACAGUGGCUCCACAUGUAGCUUGGAGCUCAGAAGGGGCACUGUGAACCACCUUUUUCUAGGGAGAAAAAUCCAGAGGAAAGAAGGUUAAUCCUAGAGAGAGGGGACAAAAUCCUGAAGACAGUAAAGAUGAGAGGAGAACAAAAAGUCCCAGAUGUGGCCAAGAACCCACUAAAACGAGCCAGAUAACAAGACAGGAGACAACAUAAAGUUUGGGACGCUGGAGAGCAGCCUGGCAGGUGGCGACUGACUUAGCCAACCUAAGAGAGCUGAACCCUUAACCAAGGACGCGGGAUGAUGAGAGCCAAGCCGCUCCGCUCCUCCACUUGUCUGUCUUUUGGGACACUGGUUCAUGAACCCAUCCACGAUGGUAUGAAGAAGCCCACGCUACCCUUUGGAGAGGUCCAUGCAGAGAAGAAGAGCCAGCACCAGUUUUGCAGCCAUGUGAACGAACCAUCUUGGACACAGACUCUCCAGCCCCAGAUGAGCCACCCUAAUUGACGCCAUGUGGAAGAGAGAUGAGUUGUCUUCAUUUUAAAAUAGUUGAAUAUACUGAUAUUAUCUUUUUCAGGUAUAUAAAAGGUCA